GUGGGGAAUUUUGGACAAUGGGCGCAAGCCUGAUCCAGCAAUGCCGCGUGCAGGAAGAAGGCCUUCGGGUUGUAAACUGCUUUUGUACGGAACGAAACGGUCCGGGUUAAUACCCUGGGCUAAUGACGGUACCGUAAGAAUAAGCUCCGGCUAACUCCGUGCCAGCAGCCGCGGUAAUACGUAGGGUGCGAGCGUUAAUCGGAAUUACUGGGCGUAAAGCGUGCGCAGGCGGUGCUGUAAGACAGGCGUGAAAUCCCCGGGCUCAACCUGGGAAUUGCGCUUGUGACUGCAGUGCUGGAGUACGGCAGAGGGGGAUGGAAUUCCGCGUGUAGCAGUGAAAUGCGUAGAUAUGCGGAGGAACACCGAUGGCGAAGGCAGUCCCCUGGGCCUGUACUGACGCUCAUGCACGAAAGCGUGGGGAGCAAACAGGAUUAGAUACCCCAGUAGUCC
rnacentral:rRNA from 1 species